UCCAGACUCCUACGGGAGGCAGCAGUGGGGAAUAUUGCACAAUGGGGGAAACCCUGAUGCAGCGACGCCGCGUGAGUGAGGAAGUAUUUCGGUAUGUAAAGCUCUCUCAGCAGGGAAGAAAAUGACGGUACCUGACUAAGAAGCCCCGGCUAACUACGUGCCAGCAGCCGCGGCAAUACGUAGGGGGCAAGCGUUAUCCGGAUUUACUGGGUGUAAAGGGAGCGUAGACGGCGAGGUAAGCCUGAAGUGGAAGCCCGCGGCCCAACCGCGGAACUGCUUUGGGAACUGUUUUGCUGGAGUAUGGGAGGGGUAAGCGGAAUUCCUGGUGUAGCGGUGAAAUGCGUAGAUAUCAGGAGGAACACCGGCGGCGAAGGCGGCCUGCUGGACCGCGACUGACGUUGAGGCUCGAAAGCGUGUGGAGCGAACAGGAUUAGAUACCCGGGUA
rnacentral:rRNA from 1 species